GGAUUGUGGCUCAGUGGUAGAGCGCUGGCCUCACAGGUGUGAGACCCUGGGUUUGAUUCUCAGCACCA
rnacentral:tRNA from 1 species